rnacentral:rRNA from 1 species
GACGAACGCUGGCGGCGUGCUUAACACAUGCAAGUCGAACGAUGAAGCUGGAGCUUGCUCCGGUGGAUUAGUGGCGAACGGGUGAGUAACACGUGAGCAAUCUGCCCUUGACUCUGGGAUAACUGCGGGAAACUGUAGCUAAUACCGGAUACGACGUACGGAGGCAUCUCCUGUACGUGGAAAGAAUUUCGGUCAAGGAUGAGCUCGCGGCCUAUCAGCUAGUUGGUGAGGUAAUGGCUCACCAAGGCGACGACGGGUAGCCGGCCUGAGAGGGUGACCGGCCACACUGGGACUGAGACACGGCCCAGACUCCUACGGGAGGCAGCAGUGGGGAAUAUUGCACAAUGGGCGAAAGCCUGAUGCAGCAACGCCGCGUGAGGGAUGAAGGCCUUCGGGUUGUAAACCUCUUUUAGUUGGGAAGAAGCGAAAGUGACGGUACCAACAGAAAAAGCACCGGCUAACUACGUGCCAGCAGCCGCCGUAA